AUGGACGUGAGGGUCCUCACUCAGCUCCUGGGGCUCCUGAUGCUCUGGAUCCCAGGUGCCAGAAGUGACAUUCAUGUGACCCAGUCUCCAGCCUCCUUCUCUGCAGCUGUGGGAGACACAGUCACCAUCACUUGCAGGGCCAAUGAGUAUAUUAGUACUGAUUUAAACUGGUAUCAACAGAAACCUGGAAAAGCUCCUAAACUGCUGAUCUAUGGUACAGAUGUGUUGGACUCGGAGGCCCCAUUCAGGUUCAGUGGCAGGGGAUCUGAUAUAGAUUUCACUCUCACCAUCAGCAUCCUGCAACCUGAAGAUAUUGCAGCUUAUUUCUGUCAGCAGUAUUAUGAUGAUCCUCCUCCCACAGUGACACAAGCCAUAGCAUAA